rnacentral:snRNA from 1 species
AGCUUUGCACAGUGGCAGUAUCGUGAUUAUUGCUAAUUGAAAAUUUUUCCCAAUACCCCAUGAUGACGACUUGAAAUAUAGUUGGUACUGGCAAUUUUUGACAGUCUUUACAGAGA